GAUGAACGCUGGCGGCGUGCCUAACACAUGCAAGUCGAACGAAGCACUUUAAAUAGAUUUCUUCGGAAUGAAGUUUUUUGUGACUUAGUGGCGGACGGGUGAGUAACGCGUGGGUAACCUGCCCAGUACUGGGGGACAACAGUUGGAAACGACUGCUAAUACCGCCUAAGCCUACGGUGUCGCAUGACCCAGUAGGAAAAAUUCCGGUGGUACUGGAUGGGCAUGCGUCUGAUUAGCUAGUUGGUAAGGUAAUGGCUUUCCAAGGCGACGAUCAGUAGCCGGCUUGAUAGAGUGAACGGCCACAUUGGGACUGAAACACGGCCCAAACUCCUACGCGAGGCAGCGGUGGGGAAUAUUGCACAAUGGGGGAAACCCUGGUGCAGCAACGCCGCGUGAGUGAAGAAGUAUUUCGGUAUGUAAAGCUCUAUCAGCAGGGAAGAUAAUGACGGUACCUGACUAAGAAGCACCGGCUAAAUACGUGCCAGCGGCCGCGGUAA
rnacentral:rRNA from 1 species